rnacentral:rRNA from 1 species
ACGCUAGCUACAGGCUUAACACAUGCAAGUCGAGGGGCAGCAUGGUCUUAGCUUGCUAAGACUGAUGGCGACCGGCGCACGGGUGAGUAACACGUAUCCAACCUGCCGUCUACUCUUGGACAGCCUUCUGAAAGGAAGAUUAAUACAAGAUGGCAUCAUGAGUCCGCAUGUUCACAUGAUUAAAGGUAUUCCGGUAGACGAUGGGGAUGCGUUCCAUUAGAUAGUAGGCGGGGUAACGGCCCACCUAGUCUUCGAUGGAUAGGGGUUCUGAGAGGAAGGUCCCCCACAUUGGAACUGAGACACGGUCCAAACUCCUACGGGAGGCAGCAGUGAGGAAUAUUGGUCAAUGGGCGAGAGCCUGAACCAGCCAAGUAGCGUGAAGGAUGACUGCCCUAUGGGUUGUAAACUUCUUUUAUAAAGGAAUAAAGUCGGGUAUGCAUACCCGUUUGCAUGUACUUUAUGAAUAAGGAUCGGCUAACUCCGUGCCAGCAGCCGCGGUAAUACGGAGGAUCCGAGCGUUAUCCGGAUUUAUUGGGUUUAAAGGGAGCGUAGAUGGAUGUUUAAGUCAGUUGUGAAAGUUUGCGGCUCAACCGUAAAAUUGCAGUUGAUACUGGAUAUCUUGAGUGCAGUUGAGGCAGGCGGAAUUCGUGGUGUAGCGGUGAAAUGCUUAGAUAUCACGAAGAACUCCGAUUGCGAAGGCAGCCUGCUAAGCUGCAACUGACAUUGAGGCUCGAAAGUGUGGAUAUCAAACAGGAUUAGAUACCCUGGUAGUCCACACGGUAAACGAUGAAUACUCGCUGUUUGCGAUAUACUGCAAGCGGCCAAGCGAAAGCGUUAAGUAUUCCACCUGGGGAGUACGCCGGCAACGGUGAAACUCAAAGGAAUUGACGGGGGCCCGCACAAGCGGAGGAACAUGUGGUUUAAUUCGAUGAUACGCGAGGAACCUUACCCGGGCUUAAAUUGCAGAUGAAUUACGGUGAAAGCCGUAAGCCGCAAGGCAUCUGUGAAGGUGCUGCAUGGUUGUCGUCAGCUCGUGCCGUGAGGUGUCGGCUUAAGUGCCAUAACGAGCGCAACCCUUGUUGUCAGUUACUAACAGGUUCCGCUGAGGACUCUGACAAGACUGCCAUCGUAAGAUGUGAGGAAGGUGGGGAUGACGUCAAAUCAGCACGGCCCUUACGUCCGGGGCUACACACGUGUUACAAUGGGGGGUACAGAGGGCCGCUACCACGCGAGUGGAUGCCAAUCCCCAAAACCUCUCUCAGUUCGGACUGGAGUCUGCAACCCGACUCCACGAAGCUGGAUUCGCUAGUAAUCGCGCAUCAGCCACGGCGCGGUGAAUACGUUCCCGGGCCUUGCACACACCGCCCGUCAAGCCAUGGGAGCCGGGGGUACCUGAAGUGCGUAACCGCGAGGAGCGCCCUAGGGUAAAACUGA